UACAUGGGGUGCAAGCGUUAAUCGGAAUUACUGGGCGUAAAGCGUGCGUAGGCGGUUGUUUAAGUCUGCUGUGAAAUCCCCGGGCUCAACCUGGGAAUGGCAGUGGAUACUGGACAGCUAGAGUGUGUCAGAGGAUGGUGGAAUUCCCGGUGUAGCGGUGAAAUGCGUAGAGAUCGGGAGGAACAUCAGUGGCGAAGGCGGCCAUCUGGGACAACACUGACGCUGAGGCACGAAAGCGUGGGGAGCGAACAGG
rnacentral:rRNA from 1 species